rnacentral:rRNA from 1 species
GAUGAACGCUGGCGGCGUGCCUAAUACAUGCAAGUCGAGCGAACAGACGAGGAGCUUGCUCCUCUGACGUUAGCGGCGGACGGGUGAGUAACACGUGGAUAACCUACCUAUAAGACUGGGAUAACUUCGGGAAACCGGAGCUAAUCCCGGAUAAUAUAUUGAACCGCAUGGCUCAAUAGUGAAAGACGGUUUUGCUGUCACUUAUAGAUGGAUCCGCGCCGCAGUAGCUAGUUAGUAAGGUAACGGCUUACCAAGGCGGCAAUGCGUAGCCGACCUGAGAGCAUGAUCUGCCACACUAGAACUGAGACAGGGUCAAGACUCUUACGGGAGGAAGCAGUAGGGAAGCUGCCGGAAUGGGAGAAAGCCGGACGGAGAAACGCCGCGGCAGUAAUGAAGGUCUUCGGAUCGUAAAACUCUGUUAGUAGGGAAGAACAAAUGUGUAAGUAACUAUGCACGUCUUGACGGUACCUAAUCAGAAAGCCAAGGCUAACUACGUG